rnacentral:lncRNA from 1 species
GGCCAAUAAAGAUGCUGCGCUGUUGUUGUCAUAUUCACUUAUCAUGCUUAACACAGAUCAACACAAUACACAGGUCAAAAAGAAGAUGACAGAGGAAGAUUUCAUCCGCAACAACCGGAGAAUAAAUGGAGGAAAUGACCUCCCUCGGGAAUUUUUGUCUGAGCUUUACUACUCCAUCUGUGAGGAUGAGAUCCGGUCGCAACAACCAGAGAAUAAAUGGAGGAAAUGACCUCCCUCGAGAAUUUUUGUCUGAGCUUUACCACUCCAUCUGUGAGGAUGAGAUCCGGAUUAUCCCAGAUCGAGGUGCUGGUACUCCGAUGAUGGCGCCAAGUCAUUGGAUUGGUCUGGUUCAUAAAUCAAGGCAAACUUCC